CACUCCCCUCACCCUUCAGGCCUAGAGACUAAAAAAAGCAAACAUGGGGAGUUGAGGGAGCCUCGCUUCGCUGGCACUGCACUACCUUUCAUGGUGUCCCUACUACACCCUAUCCAUAGCUGUGUAAAUAUUCUCUUUAUUAGUAUUUGCUCAAAUUAGCCAAUGGAGAUGUGUCAUCUGGUCCCUACAGAGAUGCUAACUACUACAUAAGCUGAGAGGAAUGAUCUAAUAAUUGAUGAUGCUAAAGAACUAGAGGGUAAUUAGAGGAGCAAAGUCCUUGAGAAGAUGCCAUAGAAUGGGAUGCAGAACACAAAUGGAAGGAUUGGCCUUUCGUGGGAGCACUGCAAUAGGAGAAAAGGCAGAAGUUGUAGCUUCAGAUGAAGACUGGCUGAAAGAUCUGGUGGUGAGAAGAUGGGGAAGUUCAAGUCUGCAGAGGUGAGGUUGAAAACUGAGAAUGAGGCAUGUUGGGGGUAUAGGAUCUUUUAAGGGAGAUGUAAUGUGGUCUUUGUGAAGCAGAGAAGAGCCAAAGCAUGUUGGCAAGCAAACCAUAAAUGCAGGUGAAUGUUCAGUGCUCUUUGAGAUUUGUGUUCUUGAUUUUGAUGGAGACCAAUUGGUAGAAAGGAAAGUUUUUUCUCCUAGACUCAGAUUAAACAGAUAGUUGGGCUUAACCAGGGUCAGAGUUCAACUAAACUAGUCUGAUAGUAGGAAAGAGAGAUGAGGAAGUUAUGUUGUUUUCAAGGGAUUGCAAAUAAUAAUAUACCACAGAAACUAACCCGGAUAUGGUGGAAAGUGAGGACCCAGUAUUACAUAAGGAUAUCAUAUAACAGGUAUACGUGCUUGCAAUAGGAUAGAGAAAGAAAUAAUAAAAGUCUGCCCUACAACAUAAGGAUUUAAUAUAGAUUUUCUUGUGUGAGAAUAAAAAUAAUGAACAAGUUCAUUUUAUCUUCUAACAUAGGAAAGAAAGAUGUGAAAGCAGAUAAACCCAUAUGUAUGUAUUGAUCUUAUGUGUUUGAAUAGAAAUAUGCUAAGAAGCAAAUGACUGAAAUAGAAGGAAAAACUGUGUAUUUCAGCUUUUUGAUUCCAUCCAACUCCAAAGAAACAAAGGUACAGUUCUCAUGACAGGCCUUUUAUCUUCUCAGAGUUCAGUGCUAAAGACCCAUGCCCAAUUCAGGCUAACUUCUUUACCUUGUGGAGAAAGAUGAAGCCAGCAUUGCAGAGGAACCACAGGAACCAAAUCCUUAAUAAUUAUACUGUAAAUAUGCGUGCCCGUCUCUCAAAGACGCCAAGCAGUAUUUGUGUUAGUUUGCUCAGUGAUCGCAAACGAGAAGCAGCAUCUGCCAAUCUUACGUUUCAAGGUUUACAUCACAGGUGGAAGGUGUGCGUAAUCUGUGGGAAACUACAUAAAUUCAAUCGUUCUCACAAACGAAAAACAUUUUUAUGCUGUGAAAGGAAUCCUUUUUCUGAAACUCGUGCUACAGUUUUCCCAGGUAUUUUCUUGUGUUGUGGUUUACUCUUGCCUCAAAAAUAAAACCCAAAGAAGCAGAAGAAAAGCAGUUUAUGUUCGUGGGUGACAUUUACCCUAUAUGACAGUGCUCCUUUCACUAAGAUUGCAGGCAGCCUUCACAGCGUUAGAUCGAUAUGGAAACUAAUUCAAAUGUUUUUGCGGUUGAAGUCAAAAAGUCAAGUUUAGUGAUACAAAUAAAACAAUGAACUCUAAUUCUAUGCAAAGAGAAGAUAUAUUCUAAUAGGGACACGUCCCAUCCCAUAGUAUGUGGUAUGUAUAAUUUGUACCGUUAAG
ensembl:lncRNA